GGCCCCGUAGUUCAACUGGAUAGAAUAUCAGAUUUCGGCUCUGAGGGUUGGGGGUUCGAAUCCUCCCGGGGUCACGA
rnacentral:tRNA from 1 species